GCACUCCGAGGUGCCUGCAGGUCCAAGGGGAAGUCACGCGUCGUAUGUGAUAAUUUGUAAUGACAUAUGGUUUCAAUUAACCCAUCCUUAACUGUUUGCCACUCGAUCCCAACUCUCCGAUUGUCAUUUUACAUGGAAAUCUGCAUUGUUAUGAUCGGAGAGAGAAUAUAAACACUACAUUGUUAUCUCUCAUUCCCAAAUUGUAAGUCAUUUCAAGAAUCUUGAAGAAUCAAAGUAUUUUCACGUUUAACCAAAAUUAUAGAGAGAA
rnacentral:lncRNA from 1 species